rnacentral:rRNA from 1 species
UACGAAGGGGGCGAGCGUUGUUCGGAGUUACUGGGCGUAAAGGGCGCGUAGGCGGCGCUCCAAGUUAGGCGUGAAAGCCCCGGGCUCAACCUGGGAAUAGCGCUUAAGACUGGAGUGCUCGAGUGCGGAAGAGGUGAGUGGAAUUCCCAGUGUAGAGGUGAAAUUCGUAGAUAUUGGGAAGAACACCAGUGGCGAAGGCGGCUCACUGGCCCGGUACUGACGCUGAGGUGCGAAAGCGUGGGGAGCAAACAGG